GACAGAGGCCUCAAGCGUUUAGGCGGAAUCACUGGGCUUAAAGCGUGUGUAGGCGGACUUCUAAGUGACCUUGUGAAAUCCCCACGGCUCAAGCCUGGCGGAACUGCUGGGCAUACUGGGGAGGUCUUGGGCCAUUCAGGGGGCAACUGGAACAAGCGGGUGGAAGCGGUGAAAUGCGUAGAUAUCGGCUUGGAACGCCGAAGGUGGAAAAACAGGUUGCUGGGGGAUGUGCCGA
rnacentral:rRNA from 1 species